rnacentral:rRNA from 1 species
UACGGGGGGAGCAAGCGUUGUUCGGAUUUACUGGGCGUAAAGGGCGCGUAGGCGGCGCAACAAGUCACUUGUGAAAUCUCCGGGCUUAACCCGGAGCGGCCAAGUGAUACUGUCGUGCUAGAGUGCGGAAGGGGCUACUGGAAUUCUCGGUGUAGCGGUGAAAUGCGCAGAUAUCAGGAGGAACACCAAUAGCGAAGGCAGCUCGCUGGGACGGUACUGACGCUAAGGCGCGAAAGCGUGGGGAGCGAACAGG